AUUGAACGCUGGCGGCAUGCUUCACACAUGCAAGUCGAACGGUAACAGGCCGCAAGGUGCUGACGAGUGGCGAACGGGUGAGUAAUGCAUCGGAACGUGCCCAGUCGUGGGGGAUAACGCAGCGAAAGUUGCGCUAAUACCGCAUACGAUCUAUGGAUGAAAGCGGGGGACCGUAAGGCCUCGCGCGAUUGGAGCGGCCGAUGUCAGAUUAGGUAGUUGGUGGGGUAAAGGCUCACCAAGCCGACGAUCUGUAGCUGGUCUGAGAGGACGACCAGCCACACUGGGACUGAGACACGGCCCAGACUCCUACGGGAGGCAGCAGUGGGGAAUUUUGGACAAUGGGCGCAAGCCUGAUCCAGCAAUGCCGCGUGCAGGAAGAAGGCCUUCGGGUUGUAAACUGCUUUUGUACGGAACGAAACGGUCCUGGUUAAUACCCGGGGCUAAUGACGGUACCGUAAGAAUAAGCACCGGCUAACUACGUGCCAGCCGCCGCAGUAAAAC
rnacentral:rRNA from 1 species